GUGUGUGUGUGUGUGUGUGUGUGUGUGUGUGUGUGUGUGUGUGUGUGUGUGUGUGUGUGUGUGUGUGUGUGUGUGUGUGUGUGUGUGUGUGUUAUUGUGACACCUGCAGGAUUUCUGCCAGGUCCUCGUUGUUGUUGUCCAGCGCGAUGUCCAGCGCCGUUUUGGUGAAUUUACUCUGCGCGUGAACGUCAGCACCGAACCUCAGCAGCAGUGCCACGACUUCUCCAUGUCCGUGUUCCACU